UCAAACUGGCGCUAGCGACACAGGAGUGGCUAACGCAUCCUCUUGCCGUUCCCGGUGUUUGGGCCUUGCUUGUGAUGGUGAGAAAAGAAAAUGGCCUUGCUGUGCUACAACCUGGGCUGUGGUCAAUGCUUUGAUCCUGAGACCAAUUCCAAUGAUGCUUACACAUGCCACCCAGGUGUUCUAGUCUUUCACCACGCAUUAAAGGGUUGGUCUUGCUGUAAGAGAACAACGGCUUUUUCUGAUGUCUUUAGCAUUGUUGUAUGUACAAAAGGUAGACAUAAUAGUGAGAAGCCACCUGAGCCAGUCAAACCUAAAGUCAAGACUACUAAGAAGAAGAAACUAUCUGAAUUGAAACCCAAAUUUCAGGAACACAUUAUUCAAGCCCCUAGGCCAGUAGAAGCAAUGAAAAGGCCAAGCCCAGAUGAAGCAAUGACAAAUUUGGAAUUAAAAAUAUCUGCCUCCCUAAAACAAGCACUUGAUAAACUUAAACUGUCAUCAGGGAAUGAAGAAGAUAAGAAAGAAGAAGACAAUGAUGAAAUUAAGAUAGGGACCUCAUGUAAGAAUGGAGGGUAUUCAAAGACAUAUCAGGGUCUAGAGAUUCUAGAAGAAGUCUGUGUAUAUCAUUCUGGAGUACCUAUUUUCCAUGAGGGGAUGAAAUACUGGAGAUGUUGUAGAAGAAAAACUUCUAAUUUGAAUACAUUCAUAGCCCAAGAGGGCUGUACAACACGGAAACCCAUGUGGACUAAAAAGGAUGCUGGGGAAAAAGUUAUUCCAUGUAGACAUGACUGGCAUCAGACUGGAAGUGAAGUUAUCAUUUCAGUAGAUGCUAAAAAUUCACUUCCAGAACUUAGUUGAGUAGAAGCAAAUAGCACUGUUAAAUGUACACAUUGUAUUUGAGAUUUUGGAGAGAAGGAAUUUGAUCAGAAUGUGAAAUUGUGGGGUGUGAUUGAUGUAAAGCAAAGUUAUGUAACUAUGACUGCAACAAAGAUUGAGAUCAUUGUGAGAAAAGCUGAAACAAUGCGGUGGGCAAGCCUUGAACUGCAUGCAGUGAAAAAGCAGGAAAAACAAAAAGACUACACAACAGAUUGACUGGGAGAUGAGAAGAAGGCUAUAACGUAUUUCAGAAUUCUUAAUACUGUGUGAAGUGGCAGCUUGCUGCUGUCAUCUUUUGUUGUUGUAUUACUGAAUAUGGCAUUUCAGGGUUAACAUUAGGUUCUUAAAAGCCAAAGUCAAUUUGUCUUUUUGUGUCUCUCAUCUUUCUUUUGUGUUAUGUAAGAUUGAUUAUUCAUUUCUUCUUUCUGGUAGGAACCAUAGUUGUGUCCUGUACUUGAAGAGGCUGGAAAAUAGCCCAUAACUGUAAUUAUAGUAUUUCUUUGUAUUUCUCUGUUAAGCAGAGAAAUAUUAAGGAACAUGUUUUUACAUGUUUCUAUUAUUCCAUAAUUAGUAAAGCAAGAUGAAAUGUCAAAUUUUAAUCUGUUUUUUUCAUGGAUUUGUGUCCUUACAGUACUUGAAAAUAUUUAAGGAAGAGAUGAAGCUCUGCAGGUUUUUCUAUGUGGGCUGAUUACUUUUUUAAGGAGGAUUAAUUCUGAGGUAGUGCAGUAAGUAGAGGGGAAUAUAUGAACAGUUUAACAAAUUAGAAUUUGUUUACAAUUACUUAAAUUUUAAAAUUACGUCAAAAUGUACAUUACUUGCCAAGCAGUAUGAUGUAAGAGUAUAGGAAA